rnacentral:rRNA from 1 species
AAUCAACGCUGGCGGCGUGCCUCAGACAUGCAAGUCGAACGCGAAAUUUCCCUUCGGGGAGAAAGUAGAGUGGCGCACGGGUGAGUAACACGUAGGUAAUUUGCCUUUGGGCGGGGAAUAACUCAGGGAAACUUGGGCUAACACCGCAUAAUGCAGCGGCACCACAUGGUGACAGUUGUUAAAGCGGGGGAUUUUAGGACCUCGCGCCUGAAGAGGAGCCUGCGGCGGAUUAGCUAGUUGGAGGGUAACGGCUUACCAAGGCGACGAUCCGUAACCGGCCUGAGAGGGCGGUCGGUCACACUGACACUGACAUACGGGUCAGACUCCUACGGGAGGCAGCAGUCGGGAAUUUUGGGCAAUGGGCGAAAGCCUGACCCAGCAACG